rnacentral:rRNA from 1 species
AUGAUUAUCCGGGCGUCACAAAACGAGGUCAUUUUGCAGCUUGACAUUGCUCAGGAAAAAAGAGCUCUAACGGCGGAAGAGUUCAAUCUCAGAAAGCUUCUCAAGACCAAAGUGCUGGGGCUUGCCGCGAUUGAGAGGGCCAGAAAAAGGCAAGCUUCCAGGGUGACAUGGCUUCGGGCAGGGGACGCUAGCACAAAUUUUUUUCAUGCUAAAUGCAAUGCAAGAAGAAGGAAGAACCACAUUCACAUGCUUAGAACUAGAGAAGGAACAAUAGUAACUGAACAUGCAGCAAAAACUGAAGAAAUACAUGAGCACUUCGCAGAGGCCCUAGGCACAUCAAGACAACGGCAUUUCACCUUGAAUUGGAAUGAACUGCAGCUCCCAAGGAUACCAGCU